UACGUAGGCAGCGAGCGUUGUUCGGAGUUACUGGGCGUAAAGGGUGUGUAGGCGGUUGUUUAAGUUUGGUGUGAAAUCUCCCGGCUCAACCGGGAGGGUGCGCCGAAUACUGAAUGACUUCGAGUGCGGGAGAGGAGAGUGGAAUUCCUGGUGUAGCGGUGAAAUGCGUAGAUAUCAGGAGGAACACCGGUGGCGAAGGCGGCAUCCUGGACCGGCAUUGACGCUGAGGCGCGAAAGCCAGGGGAGCAAACGGG
rnacentral:rRNA from 1 species